rnacentral:rRNA from 1 species
UACGUAGGGAGCAAGCGUUGUCCGGAAUCAUUGGGCGUAAAGCGCGCGUAGGCGGCCCGGUAAGUCCGCUGUAAAAGUCCAGGGCUCAACCCUGGAAAGCCGGUGGAUACUGUCGGGCUAGAGUCCGGAAGAGGCGAGUGGAAUUCCUGGUGUAGCGGUGGAAUGCGCAGAUAUCAGGAGGAACACCGGUGGCGAAGGCGCCACUCUGGGCCGAAACUGACGCUGAGGAGCGAAAGCGUGGGUAGCAAACAGG